CUACGGGGGGCAGCAGUGGGGAAUAUUGGACAAUGGGGGCAACCCUGAUCCAGCAAUGCCGCGUGUGUGAAGAAGGCCUGCGGGUUGUAAAGCACUUUCAGUGGGGAGGAGAAGCUUAUCCCUAAUACGGAUAGGUGAAGACGCUACCCACAGAAGAAGCACCGGCUAACUCUGUGCCAGCAGCCGCGGUAAUACAGAGGGUGCGAGCGUUAAUCGGAAUUACUGGGCGUAAAGCGUGCGUAGGUGGAUAGAUAAGUUGGAUGUGAAAUCCUCAGGCUUAACCUGAGACGGUCAUUCAAAGCUGUUUGUCUAGAGUACAGUAGAGGGAAGUGGAAUUUCCGGUGUAGCGGUGAAAUGCGUAGAUAUCGGAAGGAACACCAGUGGCGAAGGCGACUUCCUGGACUGAUACUGACACUGAGGCACGAAAGCGUGGGUAGCAAACAGGAUUAGAUACCCGCGUAGUC
rnacentral:rRNA from 1 species